GGUGCCCCCCUACGUAGCUAAGGGACUGGGCCUCUCUCCCGCCCCAUUGCCCCCUCGGGGAUGCCCUGCAACGGAGCUCCUCCUUCUCCAGGACCGUCCUUCUUUCCCAGGACUUCCCCAGAGGCCCUCCUUUUCGGGGCCAGUCCUCCUUUUCCAGGGCAAGCCUCCUCUUCCAGGACGGCCCUCCUUGUCCAGGACUUUCCCAGGACUUGGAGAGAUCUUGGAACAGCCUUGGGACUCACUCAAAGAAAAAAAGAGGAAAGCAGGGGAUGGAAGAAACUGCUACUCCUAUUUGGAAGCCCUUUCUCCAGAAAUGUGGAGCUUCACAGGUGUAUUAGGCUGCCACUAUACUGAAGAAUUAAUGCAGUUUGACACCGUUUUAACUGCCAUGGCUCCAUGCUAUGGAAUGCUGGGAUUUGUAAUGUUCUUAGAUAUUUAGCUCUCUGUCUCAGAAAACUGUGGUGCCACAACAAGCUACAUAUCCCAGAAUUCCACUUCAUGGAGCCAUGACAAUUAAAGUGGUGUCAAACUGCAUUAAUUCUGCAGUGUGGCAGCAGCCUUAGAGAGACGUCUGGUCAUCCAGUACUCUUCCUGCUAAGAACAAGGACAAAGUUGCCUCCCAAUUAAAUGCUAAUCUCGAGUCUCUGUGAUUGAUUUGAAUGCUUCCGUGAGCAACACAUGCAGCGCUUCCAAGUCUGGAUAAAAAAUGGCAAGGGCUAUCAUCAAUCCUCAUGCUUGGGAAGCACACCAUGAAGAUUGCAAAUGAGUGACUCUCUGACAGAAGUUAAGCUCAGUCUUACAACAGAUCUCAGGAGGUGUGAAACAGAUAUUUUCAUCAAAAAUCUCAACGUGAAUUAUUUCCUCCCACACUUUCAUGCAAGAGUAAUUCUAAACUCUGGUAGACUGGUGAUGGUAGGAAGGAGAAGAGAGAGGAAACUGAAACGUAGGUUCCUCACUCACUCUGGCUGCUAAUACUGUACUGUAUAUAUAAACAGCCUUGCAGGGAGCCACCAUCAGUUCCACACAGGGACAUUCUGGCCAAUAUCCUGCAUUGGGGUUACACAGGAAAAAUGACCACAUGCAGAAUUAUUGUUGGAUCUACUAUGAAAUGCUUGUGUUAAAUGGCAACAUUGCACAACCAAGCAUUCAGCCAAAGGAGCACUGCUAUUAGUUUCAGCAAGGGCAGGUGGAUGCACAUCAGCUGAGGAUAGUCAUAGAUAUGUUUCAGGGCAGUUAUGUUAACCACCCUGCUUUUCCAUCCUUGAAUUUAAUACAGAUAUUGCACAUCAGACAAAAAUGUCUUAACUCCUUCUCAAAGAGAUACACAGGAUUCUGGACUGUAGUUGCUAGACUCUGUAGGUGGCUUCCUGUGCCAUCAUCUCUUGCAUGAUAUGAACAAAAUCCUCCAAAUAUGCCAAAUCUCUAUGAUGAAAUGUGCUCCAAACAAUUGGUUUCCACCUGCUGCAAAUAUUGCAGCUUGGAUGUAGAUAAGCCUGCAGGCGUUGAACAAAGACCCUUGUGGCAUCUUUGAGAAUAACUAAUUUUUCAUGGUAGAAAUCCUAGCCCUCUCUGCAUGAUAGUCUGCAUGAGUGCAGCGGAGUGAGCCUGUGGAAAUCGUAUAGCAAAACCUACUGUAUUAAGGAGACUAUCUUUUAUUGUAUUUUAUUGAUGUGUUUUUGUAUGUAUUUUAUAUGUUGUAAUUGCACCUCGAUCCAUUAUUAUUAUUAUUAUUAUUAUUAUUAUUAUUAUCAUCAUCAUCAUCUUGAUGUUUCUUUCCUGAAUGCAAGAUGUACUAGCAAAUCUCUCUAUAAACCAAGGCAAUUGCUUAUUAAUGGCUUCCCCUGUCCCCCAUGCCUCAAGAUGCAUUUCAAACUACUGGAGGGAGAGAAGGCUGUCCUCCUACAGCACACUAGAUAAUAACCCCAGAACAGAUUUGCCAGUGCUGUUAUUUUGCUGGCCUCAAAGGAGGGUUUUGCUGGCCAUUUUAUGGUAAAAAGGUUUGUAUGGCCAAUGUUACCUGGAGACAUCGCAAGAUGGCAGUGCAGUUUGUAACUAAGAAGGAAAAUAAAAGUAGAGAUAAAGUGCUCUAUUAAUAUUUCACUACCAAAUAAUCCAUACUGAGAUAUAUAGUCUUAAUAUAUAGAAAGACUGAAGAGUUACAUCAUGACCAAGUAUAUAUAGUUCCUUCGGUUUGAUAUCUAUCAUGUUAAGUGCAACCUUUGAAGUUGACCCUAUGGAUCCUAUGCUUUAUUGAUAUUUAUAAAAUGUUAGCAGCUUCUUCAGCAUUGAGACUUCAUUGCUACUAACAUACAAUGCCCUGGAAGAACAGGAGUUGAUAAGCAUCUUUGGAUAAUUCACCCAUUUUGUUAUGAAAUGCUAAUAAUGUGAGUUUUUAAAAUAAUACAUUGUAUUUUAAAAAAAUGCUGUCUUACAGCGUAAUGAUAAAAAUCAUGCCAGAUCAAUCUCAAAUGGUUAUCACAGGGCUGAGGAACAUGUGCCCUUCCACAGUUGGACUCAGACUGUCAUCAGCCCCAAUCAGCCUGGCCAACAAUGGGGGGAUGAUGGGAACAGUGGUACAACAACAACUGGAGGACCUCUGUUUGCCCAUCUCAGACUAUCCAUUUGCCUGAAACCUUACAUUAUGUAAAAUUAUCUAACAUUCUCCCAUUUCUGUGCAUUGGAUGGCAGAUUAUCUCUUGCAAAAUGAGGUACAAACUUCUCUCUAUCUCUUCCCUCCACCACCAAGAUUUCCAAGGCUUGUGGAUUGCAAAAUGGGAUACAAACCUCUCUCUCUCUCUCUCUCUCUCUCUUCCCUUUACCACCAUCAUUUCCAAAAUGGGGUAGAAGCCUCGGCAUACUCUCUCUCUCUCCCUCCCUUGCCUCACCAGCUGUUUGCUGGCUAUGAAGGAAGGCUGAGGGAUAAGACACACACAGAGAGACACGAGAGUGCACUGGGACUCAAACGGAGGCAAACUCUCUGUUGCCUCAGCAGCUGUUUGUUAGCUCUGGCUAUGCAGGAAGGCUGAGGGAUAAGACACACACAGAGAGACAUGAGAGUGCACUGGGACUCAAACAGGGAGGCAAACUCUCUGUCACCUCAGCAGCUGUUUGUUAGCUCUGGCUAUGCAGGAAGGCUGAGGGAUAAGAUACACACACACACAUACAGGAGAGCUCACAGGGACUCAAACAGGGAGCUGUUUAACCCUCUCUGGCUACGAAGGAAGCAUGGGCACUUCUUUUAGGAACUUUAUAAACAGUAUUAACUUAUUGUCCUGUAUAUAAGUUGACUCAUGAUUUUAGAGUCCAUUUGGGACAUAAAUAUCUCAACUUAUAGUUGAGUAUAUGUGGUAGAGCUCAGAUGUGGUGUCAUGCAUUGCCUAGCAGUUCUGAGCUGCCCUGCAAGUGGUAGCCAAAAGAGUAGAGAUUGAUUCAGGAAAAUGCUGAGCACAGUGAAAUCAAAAGUCCACUUUGAAAAAUACCAUUAGGAAUGUAUGAGGAACUUGGAUCAUCAAGAUUCCACCGUCUUCUUCCCAGAACACCUGGGAACUGGCUGCAGUUUGCAGCCAGAAACAUGUGCAUUUCUUGCAACACUCACUGCAUAACAAGUGUGUGUGUGUGUGUGUGUGUGUUUGCCAGUAUAUACCAAUGUUUUUUUUUUAAAAAACUGCACAGAGAAAAAUAUAUUUCUAAAAGCACACAAACACGUUUAUUCAGUCAGUGUAUGCAUCCAAAAUGCAUACAAUUUUAACAAUGGGCACAGUUACCUUUACUAAAAUGUACAUUAAAAUAGACGUGAAAUAUUUGGGGGUGAAUAGAGUGCAUAUGCAUAGAACUGGAGUAGAAUGAUCUGGGGUGUUAUUAAAGUGUGUCAACAACCCCCCAAAAAGGCAACACCAAAGGAUAAACGUACUAUCUAAAGAACUGUCCAAAGAUGUCUUUCUUUUCCCAUAUCCAUAAUCACCACCUGCCUGGUAGCAUCAUUUUUAAUGGGCUAGAAUGUUUUUCCUUUUUCCUCUUUUUAAUAUUUCAUUUUAAAAAAUGUUCUUAUUUUGUACAAGUUUACAUUAUAGGUCUUGCAUGAAUGCAAUCUACCAUCUACUACCUACAGUUUUACCAGUGUUUUGCAUCCAUUUGAAGAUUUGCCUUUUUCCGUGUGCACUUCUCAAAUAGGUGUAAUUUCUCUGCAGAUAGCCCAAGGAUAUCAGAGAGCAAAGUGAAUCAGGCUUGUGGACAAUUUGGCAUAAACCUAUUAAACCUUGGACUGAAAUCAGAUUCCUCACACUUUCCAAGUCAUUUAUUUCUUUUUAAAAUUUAUAUCCCACUUCUCUCCUGCAUAGGACCCUUAGUUCAGAAAGUUGGUAUGCAAAGGGAUCUUGUAACACCUUUGUGACUAACUGAAAGAGAAAAUUUGGUAGCAUCAGCCUAUGAAGUCUAUGAACGUUCAAGCUACCAACCUCUUUCUUUCAGUCAUGCUACCAAUGUCUCUCUUUUAUUUGGUCUCAAAGUUGCUACAAGUUCCCUUCCCUACUGGUUUUCCAGACUAACACAGCUAUGUCUUUGAAUUUGUUCUGAAAGAAAAAUGAAGCAAAUGUCUUUGCAGUAAUUUGACCCCAACGCCUCAAGUUCUAAGACCAAUACAGGAUAAAUUUCAGUUCCAUUCUUGGCUGAAUUUAUUAUAUUUCACAUCUGAUUGCUGCAGUAGCUUUGUACCUGGACUUAUUUUUAUUAAUUCACAUUAUGUACAGAAUAUAUCUGCAAGCUUAUCUGCAACUGAAUAUUGUUGUUGUGUUACUUCAAGUCAAUUAGAUCAUAUGGCAAACCUAAGGUGAAUCUACCUUGGCAAGAUUUGUUUAGAGGAGGUUUGCCUUUGCCUUCCUCUGAGGCCGAGAGAGUGUGACUUGCCUAAGUUCACCCAGUAGGUUUCCAUAACUAAGCAGGGAUUCAAACUCUGGUCUCUCUAGUCCAACACACAAACUACUACACCAUGCUGGCUCUUGCGGUUAAAAGCUUCAACCAUUUCAAUAGCUUCAACCUUUGGAAAGGGCUGAAAAUGUUACAUGUUCCCUUUUAGUUUUGAAAAGACAACCCCCUCCCUCUCUUUUCAUUCCUGCUUUGCCCAUUCACACCCAUGACAUUUUUUGCUUCCCCUUUCUCUCUUUUUCAUGAGGCUAAUUAAUUACUUCAGAAGGAACAAAGGAAGAGCAAAGAGCAUUGGCAGAAUCUUUCAUGGCUUCCUGCAGCAAAGCGAGCUGAACCAUCUUGGCUUCUGUGCACAGUUUGCAGAUGGUAAUUGUAUAAGAACUGUUUGUUCUCAAGCUUCAUGUCAAGAAGGAGAUAAUACUGAACAAAUUUCACAGUCAGCUCCCAUUGCUACAGCUUUCAGCGCUGCAGCAGGGAACCCAUUCUGGUUUCAUUUACAUUUUCAGAGGAGUCCUGUAGUGAGGACCUGAACCCACAGGACAUCUCAGAAUGGUUACCAGAUGUUUGAACAUGUUCACUGUCAUGUAAUUGUGGUUCCAGGAAGAACAAGGAAGAACAGGAAGACUAACAACACCAACAAAGAAAACUGCUCCGCCUAGCAGGCCCAAUAGAUCAGAUCUGAUCACAAGGAAACAAAAACAGCAGCUUGUCUCAGAAAUGAAUGUAACAGAAAUGAAGGCAUUGUCCUGAGUCUAAAAGGAGCAUCUGAACAAAUAUCGAGAGCUCCCUGACAAGCAUGAAUUAAACCAUUCAAGUAAUGACAUGAAUCCCUGAACCAAAACAGCACAAAGAAGGAAGGCCCAAGUGACCAGGGAAAAGCCAAAGAGAUCUUCAAGUAGCUCCAAUAUUCUACUAAAACAAACACAUUCUGAUCCCCUUGAGGUAGGGUUAUCUACUGCUUAGAAGAGAAUGGCCUUGAUGAAGUGAUUUCUCUGCACUUUAAACAAGUCUGUUUCCCUUCUCACAUCUACACUGCUCUUGUGAAACACUCAGUUCUGGAGUUUUCCUCUUGCUCAACUAUGGAAAGACAGAAGCCAGAAGCUCCCUUUGGCUCCUGCAAGUGUGAAACCCUAAGAGACACCAAACCAUAAGGUGAGUCCACCUAAAGAGGAAAUGAAGAAACAUGAAAAACGACAAAUUGGAUAAUUUUUUAAUCAUAAAUUCGAAUCUCUGUAUGUAUGUUAUGAAAGAGUCCCAGUUAUAAUAACAUCAAAAGAAAAUAUUUGAUUUAAAGUCGUAAGUCAGUUCCUUUGAUGGCAAAAAUAAAGAAAAAGGGGUUUAAAUUAUCUUUCUGAUUUUACAUACAGAUUAGAAGGAGUGUAGUAGUAAACUUCAGGAAUUCAAUUUUUAUGUUUUAUGUUGUAGGUUGUUAGGUUAACAUUUGUUUGUUUGUCAAUGUUUGUUAAUGUCUAGGACAAUUCGUACAAAGUGUUAAUGUAUAGGUAUAAUAGAUUUAUUUGUAUGGUAGGGGAGAGAGAAGGGAAUAUAUUGCUUUGUUCUUUAUGUAUGGAGAUAUGUUUUGUAUUUAUGAAUGUAUGUAAUGUUUUUAAUUAAUAAAAUUCUUUAUAAAAAAUUUUAAAAAGAAAAAAAGAAGGAAAAGGGGGAAGUGUACUUGUUGGCAUUGUGGAUGAAUGCUUUUAAAUGAUGUUUUAUUGAUUGUAUAUGUAUAGCUGUUAUUAACUUGUCACAGCAGUGAUGGAUUAUAUUGAUUUUCAUUUC